UGAUGCAGGCAGGUUCAUCUGUGGGUCUGGAGGCCCUUAGCUGCCCCCACAGCACAGGCUGACCAUGAGUGACAAGGUGAUGUGGUGGCAGGGGCAUUGCAGCUGGGUUGGUGCCCUGGGGAGAUGGUCCCACGGUGGGAGAGCAGGCAGGGGGUGGCCACUGCCAGGGGAGGGGUUGGUGGCCACAGCCUGUUAUUCAUUCUCUGGGAGAAAACCUUUGGACUGUGGAAGGUUCCAGGCUCAGGGAAGGCAGGGGCAAAGGCAGAGUCCAGGCUGGGCUCUGUCUGUCUGGCCUCCCUGAGCCCUGAGAGGACUGCCAGGCUGGGGACACCUGCGGCUGGAGACACUGCCCAGGGGCCUGUGCAGGGGCAGCAGGACAGACGGACAUGGAGAGUUUGUGGGGAAGGUUGAGGUCUAACAGAUUCCACAGAUGAUGCCUCGUUGGCAUGGAUGGAGUCUGGUUGGGAGGGCCUCUGGGCUGAGAGCCGAGAUGUGGUGUGCCCUGUACCUUCAGAAGCCGGAUCCCAGUCCAGACCCACCCCGACCUUGCUCUGACCAUGUGAACUCUGGGUCUCCAGGUCGAGGUGCCUUGGGACACCCAAAAAGAUUCUGUCCCCAGCGCUGUUAUAUGCUGCUGAAUGCAGUCAUAAAGAAUAGGACUUACUUCUUUAUUUAAAGUGGUGUCUUUAUGUGUUUGCCGUGCAGGUAACAUUCCCGUGUCUGCUGUACCCUUCCCUGGCCAGGGAGCAGAUUGGGAAGGUGCCACUGGCACUGCAGGGGCUGACACACAGCAGUGCCUGCGGCAGCAGCGCUGGCAGGACUGCGCCGUGCCCUUUGUGCCCAGCUGGGCUCGUGGUGUCCAUGGGAUGACAGAGAGCCUCUGAUGUCCCGCUGAUGGCUCGGUCUGUCCCGGCAAGGCGCUGCCUCCUCCCUGCCGGGCCCCGCUGUGCCCGGGCACCGCCUCGCUGCAGCCGGGCCCGCCGAGCUCCGGCCACCGAGCAGCUGCUGCUUGGCCGUGACCGUGUUCGGCUGUUUCUGGGCUGCCGCAUGAGCCGGGUCUCAGGACCUGUUUGCCGGGAUGGGUGGGAGCCCAGCGCAUCCCCCCGUGCCGCCCGCCCUGCCCCGCUCCGGGCUGCGCAGGGAGCGCUUCUGCUUUCGGACUGCGAGCGUGCCAGGGAUGUGCCCGGCAUCACACGGAGCGGCAGAAACAGACCCGGGUGUGCAUCUCCAGAGAGGGUCGUUCCAGGCUGUUUUACCCACUCCUUACAGGAUCAGCCCAGCAGUUCCUUCUGUCCUUAAUGCUGAAGCUAUGCAGCCCCUUGCCAGUGGCUGUGCCCCCGCCCCGCUGCCGGCUCUCCCAGCUGGCAGAAGG